rnacentral:rRNA from 1 species
AUUACCUACGGGGGGCAGCAGUGGGGAAUAUUGCACAAUGGGGGGAACCCUGAUGCAGCGACGCCGCGUGAGUGAAGAAGUCAUUCGUGAUGUAAAGCUCUAUCAGCAGGGAAGAAAAUGACGGUACCUGACUAAGAAGCCCCGGCUAACUACGUGCCAGCAGCCGCGGUAAUACGUAGGUGGCAAGCGUUGUCCGGAUUUACUGGGUGUAAAGGGAGCGUAGGUGGCAGGGCAAGUCAGAUGUGAAAACCCGGGGCUCAACUCCGGGAGUGCAUUUGAAGCUGUCCAGCUAGAGUGCAGGAGAG